GACGAACGCUGGCGGCGUGCUUAACACAUGCAAGUCGAACGGAAAGGCCCUGCUUUUGUGUGGUGCUCGAUUGGCGAACGGGUGAGUAACACGUGAGUAACCUGCCCUUGACUUUGGGAUAACUUCAGGAAACUGGGGCUAAUACCGGAUAGGAUCUCCUGCUGCAUGGAGGGGGUUGGAAAGUUUCGGCGGUUGUGGAUGGACUCGCGGCUUAUCCGCUUGUUGGUGGGGUAGUGGCUUACCAAGGCUUUGACGGGUAGCCGGCCUGAGAGGGUGACCGGCCACAUUGGGACUGAGAUACGGCCCAGACUCCUAAGGGAGGCAGCAGUGGGGAAUAUUGCACAAUGGGCGGAAGCCUGAUGCAGCAACGCCGCGGGCGGGAUGACGGCCUUCGGGUUGUAAACCGCUUUCGCCUGUGACGAAGCGUGAGUGACGGUAAUGGGUAAAGAAGCACCGGCUAACUACGUG
rnacentral:rRNA from 1 species